GCUCAGUGUUGGGAAUGCCACAUGAUGA
rnacentral:piRNA from 1 species